rnacentral:tRNA from 1 species
GCUUUUAGCUCAGUGGUUAGAGCGCUCGACUCCCAUGCCAGUGGCGGGUUCGAGGGCCGUGAGCG